rnacentral:rRNA from 1 species
CAGAGACUGCAAGCGUUAUUCGGAUUCACUGGGCGUAAAGGGUGCGCAGGCGGCCAUGUGUGUCAGGUGUGAAAGCCCGGGGCUUAACCCCGGAAUUGCGCCUGAAACUACAUGGCUAGAGCAUUGGAGAGGGUAGCGGAAUUCACGGUGUAGCAGUGAAAUGCGCAGAUAUCGUGAGGAACACCAGAGGCGAAGGCGGCUACCUGGACAAUUGCUGACGCUCAGGCACGAAAGCGUGGGGAGCAAAAGGGAUUAGAUACCCCUGUAGUCCACGCCCUAAACGGUGCACACUAGGUCUUGGCGGAUUCGACCCCCCCAGGGCCCAAGCUAACGCGUUAAGUGUGCCGCCUGAGGACUACGGCCGCAAGGCUA